rnacentral:lncRNA from 1 species
AUGAUGAUGCACUCCUCCAUGUGUGCCACAUGAUGUCAACGCACACCUCCAUGUGUCUCAUGUUAUGCCAACAUGUGCCUCUAGAUGUGUAGGGCUAUGCUAUGUUGUUCUGACAUAUCCAUGCUCACAUGCAAGACCACAUGACCACAUGUUGAUAAUGAGGUCCCCUCCUUAGUAAUGCCUCAUUCCUCUAGGCAAAGGGUGUCAUAGAAGGGCUGGGUGAGUAUAGUGCCAAAGGAUUGGAGGACAUCCCACGGUAGACAUGGAAGCUUACGUUCAAUAGUUUAAUCUCUUAUCAAACGACC